UUGAUGGUCUCAAUUUUAUUUGUACAUGGAUAACCGUGGCAAUUCUAGAGCUAAUACAUGCAAAAAGACCCGACUUCUGGGAGGGUCGUAUUUAUUAGGUAGAGAACCGACACGGGGUUAAACCCGUAGUUAUGGUGAAUCAUGAUAACUGCAAAAUUAUUUCUUGCGGAUCGCAUAGCCUUUUGAGCUGGCGACGCAUCAUUCAAAUUUCUGCCCUAUCAACUUUCGAUGGUAGGGUCGUGGCCUACCAUGGUGAUCACGGGUAACGGAGAAUUGGGGUUCGAUUCCGGAGACGGAGCCUGAGAGAUGGCUACGACUUCUAAGGAAGGCAGCAGGCGCGCAAAUUACCCAAUCCCAAUACGGGGAGGUAGUGACAAUAAAUACCAAUACGAGGUAAAUUAUACUUUGUAAUUGGAAUGAGCGCAGUGUAAACGACUCAGCGAGAAGCAAUUAGAGGGCAAGUCUGGUGCCAGCAGCCGCGGUAAUUCCAGCUCUAAUAGCGUAUAUUAAAGUUGUUGCAGUUAAAAAGCUCGUAGUUGGACUUCGGGGAUGUCGGAAAGAUUUUCCGGCGUGAAGCCGAGAAAGUUUUUCUGCUCCUCUCUUUUCGGAGUGCUCUCCUUUAUCG
rnacentral:rRNA from 1 species